rnacentral:rRNA from 1 species
GGACUACAGGGGUAUCUAAUCCUGUUCGCUCCCCUAGCUUUCGCACCUGAGCGUCAGGAGCCAGCCAGGACACUGCCUUCGCCUUUGGUCUUCCUCCGGAUAUCUACGCAUUUCACCACUCCACCCGGAAUUCGGUGUCCCUCUCUGGUCCUCAAGUGAGGUAGUCUUCAAAGUCCUUGCUCAGUUAAGCCGAGCACUGUCACCCCAAACUCACCUCACCGCCUGCGCGCCCUUUACGCCCAGUAACUCCGGACAACGCUCGCCCCCUACGUCUUACCGCGGCUGCUGGCAC